AAUCAACGCUGGCGGCGUGCCUCAGACAUGCAAGUCGAACGAUUAAGACUUCCUUCGGGAAGUGCAUAAAGUGGCGCACGGGUGAGUAACACGUAAGUAAUCUACCCUCGAGUGGGGAAUAACGUUCGGAAACGAACGCUAAUACCGCAUAACGCAGCGGCACCGCAAGGUGCCAGAUGAUAAAGGAGUAAUUCGCUUGAGGAGGAGCUUGCGGCAGAUUAGAUAGUUGGUAAGGUAACAGCUUACCAAGGCGACGAUCUGUAUCCGGUAUAAGAGGAAGGUAGGACACACUGAGACUGAAUAACGGGUCAGGCUCCUACGGGAGGCAGCAGUCAGGAAUUUUGGGCAAUGGGCGAAAGCCUGACCCAGCAACGCCGCGUGAAGGAUGAAGUAUUUCGGUAUGUAAACUUCGAAAGAAUGGGAAGAAUAAAUGACGGUACCAUUUAUAAGCUCCGGCUAACUACGUGCCAGCAGCCGCAGUAAUAC
rnacentral:rRNA from 1 species